rfam:Singulisphaera acidiphila DSM 18658, complete genome.
GGGGCGGUAGCUCAAUUGGGAGAGCAUCGCGUUCGCAAUGCGAAGGUUGAGGGUUCGAUCCCCUUCCGCUCCA